AGCUUUGCGCAGUGGUAGUAUCGUAGCCAAUGAGGUUUAUCCGAGGCGCGAUUAUUGCUAAUUGAAAAAUAAUUCUAGGAAGACAGGUGUGAGGGAAGAAACCGGGUCUCUUUUCUGACAUGGGUUCUGAAAGCAUCC